UGCUACUAGUCGGUGACUAGUUAUGGUAGACGGAAUUUGUUUGUAUUUUAUUUUGAAAUAAUUGUUUUGUUUACUUAUCUAAAGUGAAUUUGUAAUGUUUGAUUAGUGUAAUACUGUGAUGUAUACGUCGAACGUAAAACAUGGUAUAGAAAUUUUAGGUUGUAGUUAUGGGCGUUUAUUUUACUCUGGAUUAGGCCUUUUAUUAAGGCCUGCAUAGUAGGAAAAUGGCUACAAACAAUACAUCAAAGAAUCAAUGCCAAGGCUCUCAAUUAAAAUCGUUUCAGAAUCAGCAACCUCAGCAACAACAGUCAUCAUUACCACAGCCUCACAAUGUUAACUAUGAACCUCUUGAAAAAUCAACAAGCAACACUUUAAAGAGAAAUCCAAAAAUGGAAUUUAACAAAGCAGAUUUGCUGAAACUUCUCAGUUACUUGGAAGGAGAGCUUCAAGCUCGAGACAUUGUAAUAGCAACUUUAAAGUCUGAAAAAGUAAAGCAGCUCUUGUUGCAAGGACGCAACCGACCCUUGGCAUUGAACGAACCGUUGGCAGCUUUACACAGGGAUAAUUUUGCUGCCGUCAACACAAAGGUGGACGAAGCUCAAAUCUGUAGCUUAGCGGAGCACCAGCUCAGUUCUUUGGAGAAUCUGGUACUGCAGCAACGAAGAGCACAGAUAAGAAUAGCUCGAGUUCUCAAAGAUGCUGAACUAAGGCAUCGAAAGGUUGUUCAAGAAUUAGUUGAAGAAAAAAGGAAACAUGAACAUGACACAGCACAAGGCGAUGACAUCACUUAUGGUCUAGAAAAGGAACGGACACGGUUAAAACAAGAAUUAGAAGUAGAAAAGCAAGCAAAAAAGCGCCUAGAAAAGGAGUUGAAGAAACUCACAGACAUGGCCGAGGAAGAAAAAAAUAGGCAAAAACAAAUAGUAUUAUUACUGCUAGCUGAACGUAAAAAGAUUAUAAUGAAGUACGUUGAAGAAAGGAAAAGAUCUGAAGAUUUAGCACAGAUAUUAACUGAAGAAAAAGGAAGAAUGGACUCUAUGGCAGAGGGCUUAGAGGAGGAAAGUAAAAAGUCUUUACAAAUGGAAGCAGAACUGGAAAAACAAUUGGCACAGUUUGAUUCUGAAAGUCAACAACUGAAAGCCAAUCUAAUGAAGGAAGAAAAAAGGGCAAAAGAACUAGAGGCUGAAUUGGAAAAGGCCCGAAGUGAAGUUGCUUCUUUGGAGAAGCAGUUAGCGGAAGCACAUCAGGUGGCAAUGUUUCAAGCUAACACCAAUUUAGUCGGGCCCAUGGUACAUCCUACGAUUGUGCGUGGUCCUCCCCCACCUUCCAAACCAUCAAUCAUUCCUCCACAGACAUCACCUAGGCUAACCCCUCCAGGCAAGAGCAGUGUGUGGGUAGAGGGUAGUGUGGAAGGUGCUACCCCUAUGAUGAGUGUAGCCAAAGUUGUACAACCCACCGCUACAGUCUCCAGUGUACCUGUUUGCGGACCCACUACAGGUAUCGCACGCUCAGUGUCGCCAGGCCAGAGUCUACGCAAUGUGGCUGUCGCUUUCCCCUCCAACACCAUGCCCGCUCAAGCCUCUGCUGAGGUAGAGAAGCGGGUGGUGGGAGCAGUACCGGUGCCAGUGACAGGAGCAGGUGUGGCGACAGCUCCACGAACUGCAGCUCCAGUUGCGGCAAAGAUGUUUGCGCCUGGUGGUCCGGCCAAGGUUGGCUUUCUCGGCUCCAUUGCGGACGGAAAAAAGCAGCCAGCGAUCGGAAGGGGAGCGCCUCCACCAGUGCCGCCAAACAAACCUGUCGUUCCGCCUAAGAAAGAUACAAUCCUAUGUCGAAGAGGGGACGCUCCUGUCCCUUCCGAUGAAAAUAAAUCUAGUCCACAAACGCUUAAGUAUGGGAUCCUGGCUAAAGAGAACAAAGUGGUUCACAGUGGAGGGGGUGAUCAGUAGACCGAUCCAAUGGAAGUGACCCAAGCCAAGACAAGAAACAAAAUUCCAUAGUAUUAUGGAGUUAUAAGGAGUCUAGACAUUGUCAAAUUCUACAGAAGUCAACUGCAGUCCCUCGUGUUCACUGAAUUUUGCAAUAAAACGUGCUUGGAAGCUUACACUAAGACUGGUUGUUUAGCUUAAAAAUUAAAGACUUUAAUUUAAAAUCAAUUGAAACCUAAACCUAUUAUUGUUAGGUAAAAGCUGGUGGGUAUUGCAUUUUUAGGAGAUGUGUUGUAUAUGUUUGAUAAAAUACAGACUUGUUAAAAGUAAAAGUAGGAUAAAACAUUCAAUAUAAUUGUUGCCCAAACUUUGGUUAAAAUAAGUAGUUUUGAUUCAGAGCUCAUAUUAUGUGACCAACAAUUAACAUGUGUGUGAUUUUACUAGGCUACUGUUGUUAGUGCUGAUGAAUGUAAAAUGUUUGUAAAAUUAGAAUAGCCAUUUUUGUCCCAAACCAGAGAGAACAGUUUUCAAGCGUUGAAACUAGAAAUCUUACCCGAACUUCAAGUGAUACGAACAAAUAGUAGUUGAUUUUUUUGUGUAAAUUGAAGGUGUUUACAAUGUGCUCAAUUAGUGAACAUCGAGUUGGAAAUUAUGAAUGGGUCGGAUAUUUACUUUUGAAAUAGACUAACUCUGGUUACGUUAAGAUUAUGUGACAACGUAGGAAAACAUAAGGUUCUACUAAUCUUAAUGACCUAGAUAUUUUAACUUAAUGUUGAUUUGUGUGCUUUGUAAACUGGUUGUUUCAGAAUUGGAAUUUUGUUCAAAUCAUGUAUUGGUAUAAACUCCAAAAUGUGCUUAUAGUAAUAAUGCUGUAACACUACAGUAAUAAGUCCUUUGACACUUCAUUUAUGCUUUUCACCUCAAGGAGUUGCUGUGUCUUAUAAGCCGUCCAAGUCGAUAUGAACACUUGCAGUCUACUUAUCAGUUUCUCCUGAGCCAUAGGUGCUCCCAGGAUUGCCACAACCUUAGAUUCAAAUAGCAGUUGAUCUGCAUUAUAAAACCUGUGAUCUUCCAACAAUUUGAAUCUUUACCGUACAAAUCCAAGUACAGUAGAAAUCCUCAUAUCUGAAUCAAUAAUUGUACUCAAAAGAGUGAUUUUUCUCUUUUGUGAUCACUUUUUAGAAAAAUGUGUUUGUAAGCCCAAUAGAAAAUUUAUUUAUAGGAAAAAGUGGUUAAAUGAUUAACAUAACAUUAUUACUGUACAGUUGGAGGUAAAAAUUACUUACAAAAACUUAGCUUUGGAGGUUAUUAGGCCUUAAAAUAAUCCGGGACUUUCUGUUAACUUUCUUGUCCAUAAUUUUUUUUUAAAUUUGUUUGAUAAAACUAAACAACCAAUGUAUUUUAGCCUAGUAAACACACUAUAAAUAAUAAACCAACUUUAAGAGGUUAUGCCGACUAGCUAAACUGAGUAAAACACGGUAAAAUACUAACUCGCAAGAGUACUCAAGUCACGGAAACUUGUGCAAGCAACUGUGUCUAAGCCGUGGGAAAUACAUUUUGAUAUUGACUUCUGAGAAGUGGCCGGAUGUCAGGUGUAAAUUGAUUCAUCUAUGUAUUAGUUUCCAUCCAUCAAGUUCCUUACGCGAUUAGUGUGGUUCAAGGAGAAUUAUCAGUACAUCUACUGAUUUAUGGCAUUACGUAGGUACACAAAUAACUACAGCACAUGAAUCUCCACAAUCCACAGAUUGACUAAAGGCUAAUAAACUUUUAGCUCCUGAACAAUAAAGUUCUAAAUGAAACCUAUGGACAUGGAGGCAAAACAAUAAUACCCCCGCCGCAGCAAACCUGCAGUCUAAGCGAAUUUCCAUUUACCCGGCUUGAUUUCUACUAAAACAUUCCCUAAAAAUUGUCAGAUUUAUUUUCUAUUUAAAUAACAUUAAUUUUAGUAAGUAAUUAGGUUUGCUGCUAUGGGGAAGAUAUUGAAGGAUGUUUUUUUAUCGAAAUGUAGAUAGCUUAGUAUAAAAUAAACAAAAUAGUCAAAUUUGAUUAAAAUAUAUCCAUAAACAAGCAAACUACAACAGUUUAUUUAUUCUUCAUAAGAAUAACAUGGAAAUUUUAAAUUUACAAUUUUUAAAAUUAUCUCCGUAACCGUUGGACAUACAACAAUGCUUCAAUACAGUAGACUCCCUCUUAUCCGGACACCUUUUAAUCGGAAAUCGGUUUAACCGGACCACACUCGGCGGAAAUGACAUCUAUUUAACCGGACAAUUUUUAUCAGCACAUUGGUUUAACUGGACUAGAUCGGCAGGAAGUGGGCGGUACUAAAAAGACUGUUCUCGUGGGAAAGGUUUGAGACCAGUGAUCACGUGUCUAAAUACAAUGCUCUCCUAAAUUUAAGUUGAAUAUCACAGUAAACAAUCCGUUUUAACGAGUUUUUGGGGACGUCGGUUUAACCAGAAAACCCGUUAUCCGGACUGGCCUCGGUCCUGAGGAGUCCGGAUAAGAGGGAGUCUACAGUAUACAAAAUUGUUUCUUUUUUUAAGCUCUAGAAAAUGCUUUGAAGAGAAAUUAUGAAAUUUUGUGUUUUAGGGUCAAAAAUGAGAUAAAUCAAUUUUACCCCAAAAAAACCUCCCAUAAACCUCCCUUCUCAUAGUCCGAUUCUGCUGGUUCGCGAACUCGUUUGAAUAAACGUAGGUUUACACGUUUGUACCAAAUUUCAUCAAAAUCGAAUAAUUUUUGCUGGAGUUAUCGCGCUAAUGUACACAUAUAUAUACCGGGUGUCCCAAAAAGAAUGGAUCAAAAGUAAACUGACAUGAACACUUUAUUCUUAAAGAUAAAAAGUUAACUUUAUAAACAUUUUAUUUCUCAACUUUUUAAGUUUUUCCUAACAUGAUUUCACAGCCUAACCUCUACAUGUUCUCCGUUGUUCGCUCGGAGAAAGUCAAGGCGGUGUUCAAGCUCAGACCACACAUUGUGUCACAUUUCAUUGGAUAUUUUUCCAAAGGCUUCCCUUAUCUUUGCUUUUAAGUUCAUCUAAGUUUGAGAUCGGCAAGUUAUACACUUGAUCUUUCACAAAUCUCCAUACAAAAAAAUCACAAGGCAUAAUGUCUGGAGAUCUAGGAGGCCACCGUAUGGGACCGCCGCGACCAAUCCAACUGUCUGGGAAGGUUUCAUCCAGUGACUCCCUCACAAAUAAUGUCCAGUGCGGAGGAGCACCAUCUUGCUGGAAUAUCACGUUUGGAUGGAAAGCCUCUAAUUGAGGAUAGGCAUAGUUCUCCAACAUGUCGAGGUACACGUUUCCAGUAACUGUUUGCUCAUGAAAGAAAAAAGGGUCUAUUAACAAGUCAUAAGCAAUGCAACACCAGACGUUCACUUUGGGACUGUCUCUUACAUGUUUACGAACAAAAUGCGGUCUUUGUGAACCCCAAAUCCUCACAUUAUAUUUGUUUACGUUUCCGGAAGUGGGGAAGGUUGCUUCAUAAAAAAAAAAAUUCUUUUUAAGAACUGGUCGUCUUCAGCAACUUUAUCCAGCACAUUAAUCGCAAAAUCUUUACGAAGAUGUUUGUCAUUUGGUUUCAACUCUUGCAAAACUUGAAGUUUGUAUGCUCUAAAGUGUAAUAUCUUGUGAAGAACUCUUUGAAUACUAGAACUCACGUUCAGCAGUUCGAAGUGACUUUCUUGGGCUUUGAAGAUACGCAUCUCGAAUGCUGUCAACAGCUUCAUUCGACAGUCGAGGCCUACCGUAACCUUUUUUAUGGCUGAUGUUUCCAGAAUCCUUAACUGCCUGUACCAUCUCUGGAUACUGUUUCUGGAUGGUGGAUUUACAUUGUAUACAGUCCAAAAUCUUCUUUGUAAUUUAACCUCUGAUUUAGUCUCAAUGAACCACUCGAGGCACUGUGCUUUUAACUGCACAUUCAUAAUGCAACUGUGAGGUUUGUUUAUGUUUUGAAAAUUCAAGCGUGCUCACAACA